rnacentral:rRNA from 1 species
ACGUACACUCCUGCGGGAGGCAGCAGUGGGGAAUAUUGGACAAUGGGCGCAAGCCUGAUCCAGCCAUGCCGCGUGAGUGAUGAAGGCCCUAGGGUUGUAAAGCUCUUUCACCGGUGAAGAUAAUGACGGUAACCGGAGAAGAAGCCCCGGCUAACUUCGUGCCAGCAGCCGCGGUAAUACGAAGGGGGCUAGCGUUGUUCGGAUUUACUGGGCGUAAAGCGCACGUAGGCGGACUAUUAAGUCAGGGGUGAAAUCCCGGGGCUCAACCCCGGAACUGCCUUUGAUACUGGUAGUCUUGAGUUCGAGAGAGGUGAGUGGAAUUCCGAGUGUAGAGGUGAAAUUCGUAGAUAUUCGGAGGAACACCAGUGGCGAAGGCGGCUCACUGGCUCGAUACUGACGCUGAGGUGCGAAAGCGUGGGGAGCAAACAGGAUUAGAACCCCGGUAGUCCCA